UUCGCCCUUAGAGUUUGAUCCUGGCUCAGGAUGAACGCUAGCUACAGGCUUAACACAUGCAAGUCGAGGGGCAGCGGGAUUGAAGCUUGCUUCAAUUGCCGGCGACCGGCGCACGGGUGAGUAACGCGUGUCCAACCUUCCGUACACUCAGGGAUAGCCUUUCGAAAGAAAGAUUAAUACCUGAUGGUAUGAUGAGAUUGCAUGAUAGCAUCAUUAAAGAUUUAUCGGUGUACGAUGGGGAUGCGUUCCAUUAGGUAGUAGGCGGGGUAACGGCCCACCUAGCCAACGAUGGAUAGGGGUUCUGAGAGGAAGGUCCCCCACAUUGGAACUGAGACACGGUCCAAACUCCUACGGGAGGCAGCAGUGAGGAAUAUUGGUCAAUGGACGAGAGUCUGAACCAGCCAAGUAGCGUGAAGGAUGAAGGUCCUACGGAUUGUAAACUUCUUUUAUAAGGGAAUAAACCCUCCCACGUGUGGGAGCUUGUAUGUACCUUAUGAAUAAGCAUCGGCUAACUCCGUGCCAGCAGCCGCGGUAAUACGGAGGAUGCGAGCGUUAUCCGGAUUUAUUGGGUUUAAAGGGAGCGCAGACGGGUCGUUAAGUCAGCUGUGAAAGUUUGGGGCUCAACCUUAAAAUUGCAGUUGAUACUGGCGUCCUUGAGUGCGGUUGAGGUGUGCGGAAUUCGUGGUGUAGCGGUGAAAUGCUUAGAUAUCACGAAGAACUCCGAUUGCGAAGGCGGCACACUAAUCCGUAACUGACGUUCAUGCUCGAAAGUGUGGGUAUCAAACAGGAUUAGAUACCCUGGUAGUCCACACGGUAAACGAUGGAUACUCGCUGUUGGCGAUAUACUGUCAGCGGCUUAGCGAAAGCGUUAAGUAUCCCACCUGGGGAGUACGCCG
rnacentral:rRNA from 1 species